GCUUCGAGGGCCAAGUCUGCAGUUUGGUUGCUUCCUCCUGAAAUCAACGUGGGAGUCUUAAAAGCACGGGGAGAAUAGUCUACUCAGCAGGGAGCAUUUCGGGAUGAUGCAGCCAUUCAUAGGAAGCAUGGAGAGGCUUGAACUGGACCAUGUGGUGCUGGAGAGGCCAUUGCACUGACUGGCAAGAGAAGACCUGCUUCACCGUGGUCCACACAGUAAUUUCCCUGGCUUCACUCAAGGCUAACUGUCCUCCAGCAAAACACCCCUCUUUUCCUCUCACAGAUGAAGCAGAUGAGUAAAACUGAGGCUCCGUAAGGUACUCAUCCGAAAUCAGGCAGAAGGUAAGUGACAGAUCUAAAAGUCAUACCCAUGUUUGCCUGUCCCCAAAGCCCACAUUUUUACAAGUUGUUACAUGUUCUCUUAACUUCAAAAUGCAACAUAUUCUAGACAUAGAAUGUGUUAUAGACAGAAUUAUCUUCCCCUCAAAUUCACUCCUCAAGGUGAUUGUAUUUGGAGAUAGGGCAGUUAAAGAUGCAAUACAGUUGAAAUGAGGCUGCUAGAGUGGGCCAUAAUCCUAUCUGACUGAUGUUCUUAUAAGAAGAGGAAGAGGUACCUGAGGUGCUCGGGCAAAAGACAAAAGGCCAUGUGAAGACACAGGGAAAAGGUGGACAUCUACCCGCCAGGGAGAAAGGUCUCAGAAGAAACCAAGGCUGCUGACACUUCCAGCCUCAGAACUUCCAGCCUCAGAACUAUGAGAAAAUAUUUUCAGUUUAAACCACCCAGUCUAUGGUAUUUUGUCAUGGUAGUACUUGCCAACUAACACAGAAGGGAGCAUUGUUAGUAGGAAAAACACACAAAAAAGAUGUCAGGUGACUUGUGUC
rnacentral:lncRNA from 10 species